UUAAGCGACUAAGCGUACACGGUGGAUGCCCUGGCAGUCAGAGGCGAUGAAGGACGUGCUAAUCUGCGAUAAGCGUCGGUAAGGUGAUAUGAACCGUUAUAACCGGCGAUUUCCGAAUGGGGAAACCCAGUGUGAUUCGUCACACUAUCAUUAACUGAAUCCAUAGGUUAAUGAGGCGAACCGGGGGAACUGAAACAUCUAAGUACCCCGAGGAAAAGAAAUCAACCGAGAUUCCCCCAGUAGCGGCGAGCGAACGGGGAGCAGCCCAGAGCCUGAAUCAGUGUGUGUGUUAGUGGAAGCGUCUGGAAAGGCGUGCGAUACAGGGUGACAGCCCCGUACACAAAAAUGCACAUGCUGUGAGCUCGAUGAGUAGGGCGGGACACGUGGUAUCCUGUCUGAAUAUGGGGGGACCAUCCUCCAAGGCUAAAUACUCCUGACUGACCGAUAGUGAACCAGUACCGUGAGGGAAAGGCGAAAAGAACCCCGGCGAGGGGAGUGAAAAAGAACCUGAAACCGUGUACGUACAAGCAGUGGGAGCCUCUUUAUGGGGUGACUGCGUACCUUUUGUAUAAUGGGUCAGCGACUUAUAUUCUGUAGCAAGGUUAACCGAAUAGGGGAGCCGAAGGGAAACCGAGUCUUAACUGGGCGUUAAGUUGCAGGGUAUAGACCCGAAACCCGGUGAUCUAGCCAUGGGCAGGUUGAAGGUUGGGUAACACUAACUGGAGGACCGAACCGACUAAUGUUGAAAAAUUAGCGGAUGACUUGUGGCUGGGGGUGAAAGGCCAAUCAAACCGGGAGAUAGCUGGUUCUCCCCGAAAGCUAUUUAGGUAGCGCCUCGUGAAUUCAUCUCCGGGGGUAGAGCACUGUUUCGGCAAGGGGGUCAUCCCGACUUACCAACCCGAUGCAAACUGCGAAUACCGGAGAAUGUUAUCACGGGAGACACACGGCGGGUGCUAACGUCCGUCGUGAAGAGGGAAACAACCCAGACCGCCAGCUAAGGUCCCAAAGUCAUGGUUAAGUGGGAAACGAUGUGGGAAGGCCCAGACAGCCAGGAUGUUGGCUUAGAAGCAGCCAUCAUUUAAAGAAAGCGUAAUAGCUCACUGGUCGAGUCGGCCUGCGCGGAAGAUGUAACGGGGCUAAACCAUGCACCGAAGCUGCGGCAGCGACACUAUGUGUUGUUGGGUAGGGGAGCGUUCUGUAAGCCGUUGAAGGUGUGCUGUGAGGCAUGCUGGAGGUAUCAGAAGUGCGAAUGCUGACAUAAGUAACGAUAAAGCGGGUGAAAAGCCCGCUCGCCGGAAGACCAAGGGUUCCUGUCCAACGUUAAUCGGGGCAGGGUGAGUCGACCCCUAAGGCGAGGCCGAAAGGCGUAGUCGAUGGGAAACAGGUUAAUAUUCCUGUACUUGGUGUUACUGCGAAGGGGGGACGGAGAAGGCUAUGUUGGCCGGGCGACGGUUGUCCCGGUUUAAGCGUGUAGGCUGAUUUUCCAGGCAAAUCCGGAGAAUCAAGGCUGAGGCGUGAUGACGAGGCACUACGGUGCUGAAGCAACAAAUGCCCUGCUUCCAGGAAAAGCCUCUAAGCAUCAGGUAACAUCAAAUCGUACCCCAAACCGACACAGGUGGUCAGGUAGAGAAUACCAAGGCGCUUGAGAGAACUCGGGUGAAGGAACUAGGCAAAAUGGUGCCGUAACUUCGGGAGAAGGCACGCUGAUGGUAGGUGAAGCGACUUGCUCGUGGAGCUGAAAUCAGUCGAAGAUACCAGCUGGCUGCAACUGUUUAUUAAAAACACAGCACUGUGCAAACACGAAAGUGGACGUAUACGGUGUGACGCCUGCCCGGUGCCGGAAGGUUAAUUGAUGGGGUCAGCCGCAAGGCGAAGCUCUUGAUCGAAGCCCCGGUAAACGGCGGCCGUAACUAUAACGGUCCUAAGGUAGCGAAAUUCCUUGUCGGGUAAGUUCCGACCUGCACGAAUGGCGUAAUGAUGGCCAGGCUGUCUCCACCCGAGACUCAGUGAAAUUGAACUCGCUGUGAAGAUGCAGUGUACCCGCGGCAAGACGGAAAGACCCCGUGAACCUUUACUAUAGCUUGACACUGAACAUUGAGCCUUGAUGUGUAGGAUAGGUGGGAGGCUUUGAAGUGUGGACGCCAGUCUGCAUGGAGCCGACCUUGAAAUACCACCCUUUAAUGUUUGAUGUUCUAACGUGGACCCGUGAUCCGGGUUGCGGACAGUGUCUGGUGGGUAGUUUGACUGGGGCGGUCUCCUCCUAAAGAGUAACGGAGGAGCACGAAGGUUGGCUAAUCCUGGUCGGACAUCAGGAGGUUAGUGCAAUGGCAUAAGCCAGCUUGACUGCGAGCGUGACGGCGCGAGCAGGUGCGAAAGCAGGUCAUAGUGAUCCGGUGGUUCUGAAUGGAAGGGCCAUCGCUCAACGGAUAAAAGGUACUCCGGGGAUAACAGGCUGAUACCGCCCAAGAGUUCAUAUCGACGGCGGUGUUUGGCACCUCGAUGUCGGCUCAUCACAUCCUGGGGCUGAAGUAGGUCCCAAGGGUAUGGCUGUUCGCCAUUUAAAGUGGUACGCGAGCUGGGUUUAGAACGUCGUGAGACAGUUCGGUCCCUAUCUGCCGUGGGCGCUGGAGAACUGAGGGGGGCUGCUCCUAGUACGAGAGGACCGGAGUGGACGCAUCACUGGUGUUCGGGUUGUCAUGCCAAUGGCACUGCCCGGUAGCUAAAUGCGGAAGAGAUAAGUGCUGAAAGCAUCUAAGCACGAAACUUGCCCCGAGAUGAGUUCUCCCUGAGACUUUAAGUCUCCUGAAGGAACGUUGAAGACGACGACGUUGAUAGGCCGGGUGUGUAAGCGCAGCGAUGCGUUGAGCUAACCGGUACUAAUGAACCGUGAGGCUUAACCUU
rnacentral:rRNA from 1 species